rnacentral:misc_RNA from 1 species
AACGCACCUUGCGCUCCUUGGUAUUCCGAGGAGCAUGCCUGUUUGAGUGUCAUUAAAUUCUCAACCCCACCGAUUUGCUUUGGGGGGAUUGGACUUGGAGCGUGCUGGCGAAGGUCGGCUCCUCUUUAAAUGCAUCAGUGGAGAGAAACUCGCCCCAGUGUGAUAAUCCUGUUGCGCUGUGGUGGGCGAAAGUCUGCUUCCAACCGUCCUCCGGGACAUACACCAUCUUAUUUUGACCUCAAAUCAGGUAGGACUACCCGCCGAACUUAA